UGUAGAUUUAGUUUAAAGAAAACAUUAGAUUGUGAUUCUAAAAAUAGAGGUUAAACCCCUCUAAUUCAC
rnacentral:tRNA from 1 species